rnacentral:misc_RNA from 1 species
GAUGAAGAACGCAGCGAAAUGCGAUAAGUAAUGUGAAUUGCAGAAUUCAGUGAAUCAUCGAAUCUUUGAACGCACAUUGCGCCCCUUGGUAUUCCGAGGGGCAUGCCUGUUCGAGCGUCAUUUAAACCAAUCUAGCUUGCUAGGUCUUGGGCUUUCGCCUCUGGGCGGGCCUCAAAAUCAGUGGCGGUGCUGCCGGGCUUUAAGCGUAGUAAUCUUUCUCGCUAUAGGGUCCUGGUAGAGGCUUGCCAACAACUAUAAAUCUUUCAAAGGUUGACCUCGGAUCAGGUAGGGAUACCCGCUGAACUUAAGCAUAUCAAUAAGCGGAGGA